UGGCUUUUUUCUAUUCUCCCUCCCUGAAGUAUAUGUCCUAUUUUGAGACAUUGUUUUGCUUACUUAACUUCUGACCGGAGCUUUGGACGUUUGGAUGCGCUCUGCACGUUGCAGCUCAUGAUACCAGCGGUACCUACCCCAUAGAGCAAUGUUUA